CUUUCUAUAAAUCCUUGCUAAUAAUUGAUUUUGUCCCAUACUACCAAUUGAUGCCUUCAUUUGACAGUUAAUUGAGUCCCCUAAGAAAUACCAAGAGCCAACGCACAGCUGUGGAGAGGCUGAGGUGGGCAAGAGAAAAUCUUUGCCCUCCUUCCUGCUGCCCAGCAGGAAGGAGUAUGAAGCAGAGGAACUCACACUGAGAAUUACUGGGAGAUAAGUUUCUAAACCAUAAGAGGAUAGCAUGUGUAGCUUGCAUGUAUGUCUGGAGAAGAAUUACUACACAUACAUGGUGGCAAGAUGAAAACAGACACUGGAAACAAGCAGCCUUGCUCUGGAAGUCAUAAACUCUGCAGUGAGCUGUAAAUGAGGGAGGAGAACGAUUUAUCUGGCAAACAGGAUUUCCAUUAUCACCCACUUUUCAAAAGUUUGCAUUCUACCAAAUAGAAUGAAUGCUUUUACAAUAAGCCUA